rnacentral:rRNA from 1 species
GAUGAACGCUAGCGGGAGGCUUAACACAUGCAAGUCGAGGGGCAGCAUAGGGUAGCAAUACUCUGAUGGCGACCGGCAAACGGGUGAGUAACGCGUAUGCAACCUACCCUGUACAGGGGGAUAACCCGGAGAAAUUCGGACUAAUAUCCCGUAAUAAUAUCCGGAGGCAUCUUUGGAUAUUUAAAGUUCCGACGGUACGGGAUGGGCAUGCGUAACAUUAGCUGGUUGGUAAGGUAACGGCUUACCAAGGCUAUGAUGUUUAGGGGUCCUGAGAGGGUGGUCCCCCACACUGGUACUGAGACACGGACCAGACUCCUACGGGAGGCAGCAGUGAGGAAUAUUGGUCAAUGGGCGCAAGCCUGAACCAGCCAUCCCGCGUGCAGGAAGACGGCCCUAUGGGUUGUAAACUGCUUUUCCAGGGAGAGAAACUUACGCACGUGUUGCGUGACUGACGGUACCCUGGGAAUAAGCAUCGGCUAACUCCGUGCCAGCAGCCGCGGUAAUCGUCGUCUCUA